CAACAGUUGCCACGCCAAGAUUUUUCUCUUUACAUUGGACUUGGGCUCUUGGUGGCUUGUGCUAAAGUGUGGCGCGCCUCCUUCCAGCCCCGGAUGACAGAGGGACCGCUGUUUUGCAUUACCCCGCAAAGCAGAUAGGCAGGCCUGGGCGGGAGGGCCUGCACCCCUGACUGCUCACCUCGGCCUCCCAACAGCCGAGGGUCAGUUCAGUGCUGCGUCUCGGCAUAGAGGUGAGGUACAGAUCUCUGCAAGCCGGGAAAGCAAGAAUCCUCCCGUCCUCAGCUUCCAAGGCCCGGCAGGAGCGCCUUUCACCUUCGCCAUCUUCCUCGCCCCUGCCCAGGCCCCUCGCACCCCUCGAGACUUGGCUUCCCGCAGCUCCCGGUUCUCCCCUGUUCGGCUUGCCCAGGCAGGGGAAGGCGGCGGUCACACGUGCCUGCCCGGAUCCACGCUCAGCCCGCGUGUCGGGAACCGCCUGGAGCCGGACAAAGGGGCAGACCAGCCAUCCAGCCUCGGUUCCGGUCCACGAUCCCCCCCCGGGGCGCCCCGCAGGGCUCGGCGCGCGGUGGGCGGGGCGAGCGGCGCAGGGGGCCGUGGGCCCGAGCGAGCGAUGGGGGCGGGGCAAGUGUCGGGGCGAGAGGAGAGCGAGCCUGCUCUGGAGCGGGGGCGGGGUGAGCAGAGGGGCGGGGAAGAGAGGAGGCGGGGCCAGGCCAGGCGGGGCCAGGCGGG
ensembl:lncRNA